rnacentral:SRP_RNA from 1 species
GCUGGGCGUGGUGGCGCACACCUGUAGUCCAAGUUACCCUGGAGGCUGAGGCAUGAGAAUCACUUGAACCCAGGAGGCAGAGGUUGCAGUGAGCUGACAUUGCGCCACUGCACUCCAGCCUGGGUGACAGAGAGAGAUUCUGUCUCAA